rnacentral:rRNA from 1 species
GACAACCAGGAGGUUGGCUUAGAAGCAGCCAUCCUUUAAAGAAAGCGUAACAGCUCACUGGUCAAGUGAGUCUGCGCCGAAAAUGUAACGGGGCUCAAAGUAUGUACCGAAGCUACGGGUGUAAAAGUUUCUUCGGAAAUUUUUACGCGGUAGAGGAGCAUUCCGUAUGCCUGUGAAGGGUCAUCGUGAGGAGGCCUGGAGGUAUCGGAAGAGAUUAUGCUGGCAUAAGUAGCGAUUAAACGCGUGAGAAACGCGUUCGCCGAAAUUCUAAGGUUUCCUGGGGAAGGUUAAUCCGCCCAGGGUGAGUCGGGUCCUAAGCUGAGGCUGAAAGGCGUAGGCGAUGGACAUCCGGUUAAUAUUCCGGAACCGCUGUUUGCAUGUUAUGCAACGGAGUGACAGAUUGGGAUAGUUCAGCCCCCUGAUGGAUGGGGGUUCAAACGCGUAGGAAGAUCCGCCAGGCAAAAUCCAGUGGAUCAAUUCCAAGGCGUGAUGUCGACCUGGAUCGCAAGUGAAAGGGAAGUGAUUGAAUCCUGGUUUCAAGAAAAGCUUCGUUGUGAUGUAGAUGGCGCCCGUACCGUAAACGGACACACGUAGAAAGGGAGAAUAUCCCAAGGCGCUUGAGAGAAUUCUGGUCAAGGAACUCUGCAAAUUAACGUCGUAACUUCGGAAGAAGACGUGAUCUUUAAAGUGUAGGUGCACAACCGAAGCUUUGAAGAUUCGCAGCGAAAUGGUGGCGGCGACUGUUUAUCAAAAACACAGGGCUGUGCAAAGUCGUGAAGACGACGUAUACGGCCUGACGCUUGCCCGGUGCUGGAAGGUUAAGGCAAGGGGUCAAUCUCGCAAGAGGUGAAGCUCUGAACCGAAGCCCCAGUAAACGGCGGCGGUAACUAUAACAACGGUUGUAGUUAUAAAAUUCAGCUAUAUGCGGGAAAGUCUGGUUAGUAUCGGAUGAUACUCGUUGGGUUUCAGCCCAGCAGUAAAAAUGCAUCCGUGCAGGCAAUCCGCAGGAAAGACUUGGAAAAUUUAAAAUUCAAAAUGCAAAGUGCAAAACCACAAUGCAAAAUGAAAAAUUUCAGUUUUCUCAAGAAUCCUCAGAGACUAUACGCUGAAUCCGAUUCCACUGAAUCGGAAUGAUAUAGUCCGAACCCUGUGGCGACAUAGGGAGAUAGUCUGAAAGGACUAUCCGCCCCGCACUUUCAAGAAAGUGCGGGGUUAUUAAAGUAACAACGCGAACCGUCCUAAGGUAGCGAAGUUCCUUGUCGGGUAAGUUCCGACCUGCACGAAAAGCGUAACGACUGCCACACUGUCUCGACCGGAAGCUCAGCGAAAUUGUAUUGGCCGUGCAGAUGCGGUCUACCCGCGGCAAGACGGAAAGACCCUGUGCACCUUUACUAUAACUUGGCAGUGAAUUUCGGGCUUGUUUGUGUAGGAUAGGUGGGAGCCUUUGAAACCGGGGCGCUAGCUUCGGUGGAGGCAACCUUGAAAUACCACCCUGACUAUUCUGGAAUUCUAACUGACACCCCUAAUCGGGGUGCAGGACACUGUCUGGCGGGUAGUUUAUCUGGGGCGGAUUCCUCCCAAAAAGUAACGGAGGAGUGCGAAGGUCACCUCAGGCUGAUUGGAAACCAGCCGUCGAGCGUAAGAGCAUAAGGUGGCUUGACUGCGAGACUGACAAGUCGAGCAGGUACGAAAGUAGGCUUUAGUGAUCCGGUGGUCCCGCAUGGAAGGGCCAUCGCUCAUCGGACAAAAGGUACGCCGGGGAUAACAAAUGUUGUCCCGUUUGACAGGUAACUGUCAGACAAAGUAUAUGGCUUAUAACGGGGAAGCCCAAAUUUGUUGCGAUAUUAAGGGUAUCGCGCUGUCGUCACUUGAUGACAAAACAGAUGGGUAAUCCCGUGGGAAGUCGCGCGGCAUAGCUACGAAAUCAAAAAUAAAAGUGUAAAGAUCAAAAUUUUUGAGUUUUGAUUUUUGAGAUUUGGUCUUGUUGCGAAGCAGCGUUGACCCCGUAACGACUUCAUUCGUAAUGAAUGGGAUGGGUGUUACUUGUGAGAAAAAUUUCGCAAAAUCUAUGACAUCCAUAAUACGCCAUACUCCCACACGUUCAUGGAAAGUGCGGGAUGAUGAUAUAGUCUAUACUUAUCGAAAGAUAAGAUAAAUUGAACAGGCUGAUCGCUUCCAAGAGUUCAUAUCGACGAAGCGGUUUGGCACCUCGAUGUCGGCUCAUCACAUCCUGGGGCUGAAGCUGGUCCCAAGGGUUCGGCUGUUCGCCGAUUAAAGUGGUACGUGAGCUGGGUUCAGACCGUCGUGAGACAGGUCGGUCCCUAUCUGCCGUGGGCGUAGGAAACUUGAGGGGGGCUGUCCUUAGUACGAGAGGACCGGGAUGGACGCACCUCUGGUGUACCAGUUAUCGUGCCAACGGUAAGCGCUGGGUAGCCAUGUGCGGUGGUGAUAACCGCUGAAAGCAUCUAAGCGGGAAGCACGCCCCAAGAUUAGGUUUCCCCAUCAGACCACUCGAAGAUGACGAGUUUGAUAGGCGGGAGGUGGAAGCGCUGCGAGGCGUUUGAGCCAACCCGUACUAAUUGGUCGAUUGGCUUGGCCUUAUAU